rnacentral:rRNA from 1 species
AGAACUUAGCAGAGAUGCUUUGGUGCCUUCGGGAGCUCUGAGACAGGUGCUGCAUGGCUGUCGUCAGCUCGUGUUGUGAAAUGUUGGGUUAAGUCCCGCAACGAGCGCAACCCUUAUCCUUUGUUGCCAGCGGCUCGGCCGGGAACUCAAAGGAGACUGCCGGUGAUAAACCGGAGGAAGGUGGGGAUGACGUCAAGUCAUCAUGGCCCUUACGGCCAGGGCUACACACGUGCUACAAUGGCGCAUACAAAGAGAAGCGACCUCGCGAGAGCAAGCGGACCUCAUAAAGUGCGUCGUAGUCCGGAUUGGAGUCUGCAACUCGACUCCAUGAAGUCGGAAUCGCUAGUAAUCGUAGAUCAGAAUGCUACGGUGAAUACGUUCCCGGGCCUUGUACACACCGCCCGUCACACCAUGGGAGUGGGUUGCAAAAGAAGUAGGUAGCUUAACCUUCGGGAGGGCGCUUACCACUUUGUGAUUCAUGACUGGGGUGAAGUCGUAACAAGGUAAGCGUAGCGAG